UGGACCAAUGAUGAUGACUGGUGGCGUAUGAGUCAUGGAUGAUGAUGAUGAAUAACAUGUGUCUGAAACUCUGAGGUCCAA
rnacentral:snoRNA from 1 species